CUCAGAGUGUUAACCACUGGGUCACCAGGGAAGUCCCAGUUCUGGAGGGCAGAUGUUUGAAAUGAGUCUUGAGGGAGGAAAACCAAGGUGUCAAGUGUCGGGGGGAGGCUCCAGAAAGAAUAUGGCAAAGCAUCUCCUUUGGAAAAGCCGGCACAGCUGGAAAUCCACCUGUGGGUGAAGAAACUGAAGUUUAUAUGUAUUGUAUUGCUGUAUUUUUUUAAGAUAUAUAUUUAUCUUUAAUUGAAAUACAUUUGAUGCACAGUAUCAAACUGUACACAGUUUCAGGUGUACUACAUAAUAUUUGAUAUUGGCAUUCUUUAUGAAAUGAUCAUCAUAAUAGUAAUCAUCUGUAAUCAUCUGUCCCAAUACAAAGUUAUUACAAUAUUAUUGACCAUAAUCUUCCUUAUGCUGUAUGUUACAUUCUUGUCGCUUACUUGUUAUACAACUGAAGGCUUGUACCUUUUUUAAAAAACAUUUUAUUUUAUAUUGGAGUGUAGUUGAUUAACAAUGCUAUGUUAGCUUCAGGUGUACAGCAAGGUAGUUCAGUUCUACAUAAACACGUAUCUAUUUUUUUUUCAAAUUCUUUCCCAUUAAGGUUGUUACAUAAUAUUGAGCAGAGUUCCCUGUGCUGUACAGAGGGUCUUUGUUGGCUGUCCAUUUUAAAUAUAAAUGCUGGGUAUUUUUGUUUGAGCCUACUGCCUUUGUUCCUUUGUAUGGAAACUUUCUCACAGUUCCUACAAGCUCAGCUGGCAUUGCUGGUGAUAUGAAACUUGUCAAGAAACAUUGAUCUCUGGGGGAAAAAGGAAAAAUUAACCAGUGAUUCUGCACUGACUGGGCACCCCACCCAACCAGAUUCACCAGGAGGGCUUUUUCCUCUGCCAUCACACCUAACGGCAGUGGUUCUCAAGGUGUGGUGUCUGGAGCAUAAGAUAAGAUCACCUGGAACUUACUACAAUUGCAAAUCAUUGCACCUCACCCCCUAUCAUAUCCAAAGUCUGAGGUUGGGGCCCAGCAAUCUGUAUCAAUAGCCCCUGAUGAUGUCAGCUCCAGGGUUAGAACCAAUUCCUUAAGUCAAUGCCAGACUUCUGUGGGAUGAAUGGGGCGGAUGGGCAGGAGAAAAGGGCAAGGUUUGCUUCCCAAGUUGAGAAUGACCAUGGACAUGAUUACAUCUAAGGGUUUUCUUCUUGGGUGCUUUGGAAUGGAGAGCUCUGGUCUAGACUAUGACUUCAAGGAUAUAGGAUAUGCAGUUGUCAUAGGAGAAGCAAUCAGCAAAGGAUAAAAUCAUAUGGACGAUACUAUGGAGAGAAUUCAGAAGGAUUCAAGACUGUGUGGUUUUGGGUGACAGCAAAGAGAAUAAUUUCAAUCCACGUGACAGGGAAACAUGGACUAUAUAGGAAAAAAUCUUGCAUCCCAGUAAACCUAGAGACCUGAAAGAAAAAUUCAAAAAAGAGCAAGGAAAGGAAGAUGGAGUCCCAGCAGCAAAAUCAUUACAAGAGAACCUGAGGGGCUUCCCCGUGGUCCAGUAGUUAAGACUCCAA